AUUGAACGCUGGCGGCAGGCCUAACACAUGCAAGUCGAGCGGAGCGGCUGACGGGUGAGUAAUGCCUAGGAAUCUGCCUGGUAGUGGGGUAUAACGUCCGGAAAGGGGCGCUAAUACCGCAUACUAUCAGAUGAGCCUAGGUCGUAUUAGCUAGUUGGUGGGGUAAAGGCCUACCAAGGCGACGAUCCGUAACUGGUCUGAGAGGAUGAUCAGUCACACGGGAACUGAGACACGGUCCAGACUCCUACGGGAGGCAGCAGUGGGGAAUGUUGGACAAUUGGCGAAAGCCUGAUCCAGCCAUGCCGAGUGUGUGAAGAAGUUCUUCUGAUUUUAAAGCAGUUUAAGUUGGGAGGCGUUACCAACAGAAUAAGCACCGGCUAACUUCGUGCCAGCAGACGCGGUAAUAC
rnacentral:rRNA from 1 species